rnacentral:pre_miRNA from 1 species
GUAGUAUUCCCUCCAUCCCAAAAUUCUUGUCUUACAUUUGUUUAGAUACAGAUGUAUCUAACACUAAAAUGUAACUAGAUACAUCCGUAUUUAGACAAAUUUAAGACAAGAAUUUUGGGACGGAGGGAGUACAAA